rnacentral:lncRNA from 1 species
UCCUUACUAGCUGAUCAGUUAAAAUGAACCUGUGUACAUUUUUCUUGUAUACAUAUCCAGUUAAAUAUUUGCUUCCUAGUUCCAUAAUAUGGAAAAUGAGAUUUUGUGUACAGAGUUGACCUAAUACUUUGUAAAUUCAAUUUUUUAAUUAAUAGGUAUUUGAUAACCAGUUUUGCAAGUAGCUCAUGUUGGUAUAACUGUUUAAAGACUACUUUAAACAGUUGUGAGUAGUAUGCUUAUUUGAAUAUAUUCCACAUUGUUUAUUUUUUGAAUAAAACUGUUAAAUGACUCUUCUGCUUCCUGGUAGGAAAAGGUAUAUGGAAUAAUGAAACUAUAGAAGCCCAAUCACCAGCAGUUCACAAAGGUGAUUACCGUUUUAUCAACUCUUAUGAGCUAUUAGAAUUAAAACAAAACCUUGCAGCAUUUUUAGGUAAGAAUACUUAAGCAUCUUGAUGAGUUAUGCAGAUUGUUAAGAAGCUAGAUAAAUUCCUAUCAAUCAAUGUUCAAGUCUGGUAAAAAUUAUUUUGGUUGCUUUAAAGCAUUAUUUUCCAAAUCAACCUGAACGUAAUAAUUUACCAGGGGGCAGGAGGGAGCUACUUGUUUAAAAAUCCACAUUCUUGGACCAGUCCUUAGGUGCAUUGAUUCAGUGCCCAGGGAAAACUGAUUUAAGAGGGUUGUUGUAACAGAAAGUAAUCAGAAGAUUUUGAUAGGUUGAUCUUGUGA